rnacentral:rRNA from 1 species
UACGGGGGGGGCAAGCGUUACUCGGAAUUACUGGGCGUAAAGCGUGCGUAGGUGGUUUGUUAAGUCUGUUGUGAAAGCCCCGGGCUCAACCUGGGAAUGGCAAUGGAUACUGGCAAGCUAGAGUGCGGUAGAGGGUAGUGGAAUUCCCGGUGUAGCGGUGAAAUGCGUAGAGAUCGGGAGGAACACCAGUGGCGAAGGCGGCUGCCUGGCCCAAUACUGACACUCAGGUGCGACAGCGUGGGGAGCAAACAGG